UGUGUAGGCGGCUUUUUAAGUUUGGUGUGAAAUCUCCCGGCUCAACUGGGAGGGUGCGCCGAAAACUGAAAGGCUAGAGUGCGGGAGAGGAGAGUGGAAUUCCUGGUGUAGCGGUGAAAUGCGUAGAUAUCAGGAGGAACACCGGUGGUGUAGACGGCUCUCUGGACCGUAACUGACGCUGAGACACGAAAGCAUGGGUAGCAAACAGGAUUAGAUACCCUGGUAGUCCACGCCCUAAACGAUGCAUAUUUGGUGUGGGUCAUUCAGUUGAUCCGUGCCGGAGCUAACGCGUUAAAUAUGCCGCCUGGGGAGUACAGUCGCAAGGCUGAA
rnacentral:rRNA from 1 species